rnacentral:rRNA from 1 species
UACGUAGGGACCAAGCGUUGUUCGGAUUUACUGGGCGUAAAGGGUGCGUAGGCGGCGAUCUAAGUCAGUGCUGAAAUAUCCCGGCUUAACCGGGAGGGUGGCAUUGAUACUGGGUUGCUUGAGUAAAGUUGAGGUAGGCGGAAUUGACGGUGUAGCGGUGAAAUGCUUAGAUAUCGUCAAGAACACCAAUAGUGAAGACAGCUUACUAAACUUUAACUGACGCUGAGGCACGAAAGUGUGGGGAUCAAACAGG